AACGUGUCAAGCCCUGACAGCACAAGUUUCAAAAGAUGAUCAGACCAGAAGUUCAGUCUUCACUUCAUUCCAGUCUGUGAUGAAGAUGAUUUGUAAGGAUCAAACAUCUUUUCUUAGCAAUGCAAAAACAUUUAUCGACUUGCCAAGAGUUAAUGAACCCUUGGAAGAUGACAAAGAAAAAUUCAACUGAAGAUUAAAGUGGAAAUGUGUGGAUUUUGUCUAUCUUCAAAACUGACUACUUUCAAAGCAGCACUUUUGGAAGGAUGAGAAUGAAAUCACACAGGUGAAAGGCUGAUUAUACCUUUCAUUUCAUGGACAAACUGAAG